UCUUAGUUUUGACGUUUCUUCUUCUUGAAACGAUCAUCGAUCAAUCAAGCAUAACUCCAUCUUCUACAAUCAAUCCUUCUAAGAUCUCAUUUAUGGUUUCGUUUGGCCUUUCUCCAUCUAAAUGUAUUUAUACCUUUUUUGUUUACCCCAUAUUCUUAAUCGUCUUUUUUUCCUGCUCAAAAUUAUCUCAAACGAUGAAUUCCAGCAGCAAUUCCAGAGAUCUGAUGUCCAAAAAACCAGAUGGCAAUAAUGGUGCUUCCCUUGCCGUACCAAUCAAACAGACCGGCCGUACCGGUGACUCUUCCGCCGAAGCUGUCUCCGGCUUGCCUGGCAAAGCCGGUGCUUCCUCUGCCGUAAUCAUCAAGCAGAGCGGCCGAGCCGGUGACUCUUUCGCCAAAACUGUCUCCGGCUUUCCAUCGUUGACCAAAGCAAACGGCAAGGCCGUAGUGUGCUCCGACGUGCCCAUCAGGCGUAUGAUAGAAGACUAAUCAAGAACCAAUUUCGAAGAGGAAAAGAAGGGAGCAUUGGCUAAUUGUAUGUGAACUUCUUAAGGACAUUCUAUACGAAUUCAACAAAUUCAACAGAGAAUCAGGUGGUGACGUUUAUUACACAAUGCCAAUAUUGCAGGUUAGUCCGAUUCCUAAUCUCUUUUGCACGUUUUGUACAGUCAAUUACUAUUCAGUGCCUUGAAGCACUUUUACAUGGCCUUGGACUUAUAAACUGUGAUUUGAAGCCUCGGAACAUAUUGGUCAAAAUCUACAGCAGAUGUGAAUUGGUUGCAGCUGUUUCGAGACAGAUUACAUAUUCUCCUGUCCAGUUGAGGUCAUAUAGAGCACCAGAAGUAAUUUUUGGGACUGGAACUCUUCGAUGGCUUUGUUAUCUCUCAUCAAUAACUAUUUUUCUCAUUUCCUUUCCUCAGUAUAUCAAUGUUUUUGCUUUCAUUUUUGACUUAAGCAUGCAUUUGUGGUG